AUCAUCAUCCCAGUCCCCGGGCCGUCGGGCAGAACUACAUCUUUAUUCAAGACUGCAUGAUAGGGGGUCUUGGAGUCCCUCAGAUCACCAUUAGUGCAUAUAAAUCUUUCCUAAUCUGAUUCAAAUAGAAGACCUUAUCUCAUCUUCCUAGCGCUGACAACAGGCUACUUUGCCAGUACCCCCCCUUCAAUCUAAUCUCUCAGGUUUGAUUCGUAUUCUGUUUUUAAAUCUCUACAAGAGCCUCUGGGCAAAAGACAAGUGGAAAUGCCUUCGCUGGUGAUAGCUUCUCUCUUCUAAUUAAAUAUUCGGUCGAGACCAUCUAUCAAGACAGGCACGGAUCGAGCAUCAACGGAUCUCUUCUCUUCCUUAUUCGACUCUCUUUCUUUCCAAUGAUUGAAUGCGUUGGAAGUCCCGUAGUACACCCAUCGUGAGUUCAGUGCUGAUUAUGCUUUCGAUCGCCGAUAACAAAACAAGGAAGAAGCUCGAGUCAGCCUGGCCACAUAAGAAAAUGGAGAUUUUCGUCUAAAAGUGGCAAACAAAAAAGAAGUGGUCAUUGCAGCUCUCUUCCCUAUAGUAUAGCUAGGGUGUCCCAAUGUCAACUUGAUAUGGUGUCGAGGAGUUAAAAACAAGGCAUUCGGCAAGUGAACCGAACCUGACUACGCCAAAGCCUUUGCCCAAGCUCUUUCUAUCACAUAAUCUGAAUCCUGACUAGAUGGACGACUUUCUUCUUUCUCUAUCCGAGGUGAGGGUUCUGACUAUUAUCAGUGGUCCCGCCUGCUACGUUGAAAUGGCUUGAUCCGAUAAAGCCUCUCACUUCCUCUCCCUAUGGGUCGAGCGUCUUCAAUCCUCAACUUCUCAGUCGAGUUACUUCGUUCCUCACCGAGAAGUUGCAAUUAAAACAUUGGGUACUUUCUUGUUGUGAGUACGUGAAGUGGUAUUCUGAGAUGCCGUUGGACUAUUCUGUCCCCUUAUAAACUUUCUUAGAUCCUCCGGCGGUAUGUUUUCGUCCGGACCGUAAGGACCCAUUAUCUAAGUUUAACCAAAUAUGGUCUAAUGCUCCGAUGUUACGACGCAAUCCGCUCCCAGCCCAGCCGCCUUGUUGACACUGGGGAUUGGGAAUGAGCUUCAUGCUCUGGCUCAUCGUGAAACCUUGAUUCCGGGGAAGGCGGUGAAAGAAAUGAACUCUUCUCCAAAAAGGGAAGGGGGCUUGGUCUAGAACCAGGAAAGAGGUUGUCAUAUCAGUCUUUUGGUCGGGUAGCAAGCUAGCCACCAGCAAGCUAGCUAGCUAAGGAAAGAAAGCAAUAGGCGCCAGAACGCUACGUACGCUCAGAUAACAGAACGCACACUGUGAAGAAAGCUCGCGCUUACCACCCACACCCUCCCACUUCCCAUCCCCUAUCGCAUACCACGAUGUCAGGGUUACGCUUGCUGCAAGGGAAAGGCAGCAUAGGCCCACCCACUUUCAGAUAGAUCAAUGAGUUACCGCUCGGGCCUAACGACUAGUUAGUCCCUAGCUAAACUAUGAGUCCUAACAAUAACAACUACUCCUUUUCAUGCUAGUGCAACCAAGAAUAUGAUAGGAAGGUAUCAAGGAGAUAGCGGUCAAGGUUGUCUGACAAGGAAAGCGGGAGGCAGGGAGAGAGAACAUGAGCUUAGAGGAGUCGAAUUGCCCUGUCUAUACCAUAUUCGAUGCAGGGGACUUCUCUCGUCAUCAUAGAGCCGGCACAGAGGACAAUGCAAUGA
rnacentral:lncRNA from 1 species